CUCCAUCAUGGAAGAUGUCAGCAGUGUGGAGGAGAGCCUCUGGAGACUUUCAGUGCUCAUUGAAGGAAGGCUUCCUGUUGAGGAGUAAAAAGCAUUUCCCUACUGAACAUGGCCUAGCUAACCUGGAUACCAGGGAUGGGACUGUACAUAGGAGCGAGGGACAGAGAAAGACAGAGAUAGAGGUGGAGGUGGAGGUAGAGGAGGAUAGAUAAAUGAGAGAGAGAGAAAGUAAGGCAAGAGCAAAUGAGAAUCUGCCUGUGGGGUGUUGGGUGUUCUCUAGUUUGUUGGUGAUUUUUUUUUUUUCAUGCAGGCUGGUGGGCAGACCCACUCUGUCUGUGGACACUUUUUUCUGUUCCAUGGGUCUGGGCCCGUGGAGAGAAAUUUGUGUGAGGACACCUGGAAUGUUUAGGGAAAUCCAUAAGGACACACAGGGUGUGUGUGUGCUGUAGGCAUCCUGGUGUUAAGAGUGAGAAUUGCUUCUUGUCCCUCAGAUUCUAUGUUACCUGUCCUCGGUCCACUUGGAAUCUCUUGAGAGAGCCGAGUCCUGUGUGUUCCUAGGCCCUGCCACAGGGACCUGGACACCCUGCCUGUUGAGGCAAGGUUGUGGAUGUCCCGGGCCUUAUGGUCCUUGCUUCGCAUGAUGUGGGGCAGCAUCCAUCUGAACGCUCAUCACUACCAAGGCCAAGGUUUUGGAAGGAAGUCCUUCUUCUCCCAUCUUAGUAUUAGACCAUCGGAUUUGGGACACAGGACUAAGGCCGCUGACUCUGCAUCCCUUACAAGCAUACACAGCUGCCUGCCCUUUUGCCUUGUGUCCAUCCUGGAGCGGCCUUCUGCAAGGCUUCAUCAUGGAAGAUGUCAGCAGUGUGGAGGAGAGCCUCUGGAGACUUUCAGUGCUCAUUGAAGGAAGGCUUCCUGUUGAGGAGUGAAAAGGAUUUCCCUACUGAACAUGGCCUAGCUAACCUGGAUACCAGGGAUGGGACUGUACAUAGGAGCGAGGGACAGAGAAAGACAGAGAUAGAGGUGGAGGUUGUGGUAGA